GUGGGGAAUAUUGGACAAUGGGCGCAAGCCUGAUCCAACCAUGCCGCGUGCAGGAAGACGCAUCUAUGGUGUGUAAACUGCUUUUGUACGGGAAGAAACACUCCCUCGUGAGGGAGCUUGACGGUACCGUAAGAAUAAGGAUCGGCUAACUCCGUGCCAGCAGCCACGGUAAUACGGAGGAUCCAAGCGUUAUCCGGAAUCAUUGGGUUUAAAGGGUCCGUAGGCGGUUUAAUAAGUCAGUGGUGAAAGCCCAUCGCUCAACGAUGGAACGGCCAUUGAUACUGUUAGACUUGAAUUACAAGGAAGUAACUAGAAUAUGUAGUGUAGCGGUGAAAUGCUUAGAUAUUACAUGGAAUACCAAUUGCGAAGGCAGGUUACUACUUGUGGAUUGACGCUGAUGGACGAAAGCGUGGGGAGCGAACAGGAUUAGAUACCCGAGUAGUCC
rnacentral:rRNA from 1 species